UACGUAGGUGGCAAGUGUUAUCCGGAAUUACUGGGCGUAAAGCGUGUGUAGGUGGUCAAGUAAGUCAAGUGUGAAAUCUCUAGGCUCAACCUUGAAAUCGCAGUCGAAACUAGAUGACUAGAGUAUAGUAGAGGUAAAUGGAAUUUCCAGUGUAGCGGUGAAAUGCGUAGAUAUUGGAAAGAACACCAGUGGCGAAGGCGGUUUUCUGGACUAAUACUGACACUGAGGCACGAAAGCUAGGGGAGCAAACGGG
rnacentral:rRNA from 1 species